rnacentral:lncRNA from 1 species
AAAAAGAGAAAAGAAAAAGACACGAUUCAAGUAAAAAUUGGCAGACUAGCAGGCAAAGAUAACUGGAAAUUCGUUUAGUAGUAGCAGUCAAGCGUCAAAUGUUAAAGAAAUGAGAAUUUAUAUUAGGAUUUUUGAAGCUUUCGACAUGAUUUGCUGACGUAGUUUUGUUAAAUUAUGAUUUGGAUUGUUGACAUAUUUUGGAAUAAUUUUAGUUUAGUUUAGAUAUAAAAUGAGGACAUGUGUUGUAAACUUGUUAAACCAUAGGUCAAUAAUGAUGAAACUAAUUUACUUUCUAUAAGUAUUUUAAUAGGUUGGUUGUAAGGCCCCGUUUGAGUCCCAUUAUUUCUCAUUACAUUAAAUUAAAUUUUUCUCUCUCCCACUUUUAACCACACAAUCUUCAAUAAAAUAAUAUUACACGUAAAUCAAAAACUUAGGGGGUGUUCUCUUUGUGUUUCAGUUUUGUGUUUUGAGUUUUGUAUUUUGAGUUUUUGUUUUGAAAUUGUUGAAAAUGCGUUCUUUUUG